GAACGCACAUUGCGCCCGCUAGUAUUCUGGCGGGCAUGCCUGUCCGAGCGUCAUUUCAACCCUCGGGAGCCCCUUUGCGGGGGCUGCCGGUGUUGGGGAUCGCCCGCCGCCACGGUGGACGUCCCCUAAAACGAUUGGCGGUCUCGCUGUAGCCUCCUCUGCGCAGUAGCACUUGUUCUCGCAGGCGGAGCGCGGCGCGGCCAAGCCGUUAAACCCCCAACUUUUUUACUAGGUUGACCUCGGAUCAGGUAGGAAUACCCGCUGAACUUAAG
rnacentral:misc_RNA from 1 species